AUUUCACUCAGGACUAAAUGUCAAGAGAAAAAUAUUAGGAGUUGAUAAAUAGAUCAUAGUCACCUGUGUAGAGGGGAUAACUGAAUCAAUGGGAAUUGAAUUGAAUAAAUAAACAUUAUGAAGAAUAAUAAUUAAAAAAUAAGCCCAGAAUUGGGCUUUGAAAGACAUCAGGAUUCAAAGAGCAUGUGACAGAUGAAGAGUAAACAAUGGAGACUGAGAAAGGAGCAGUAAGAUCAUGUAACAUAAAUGGCUAUUCAACCAUGCCAGAAGGUUCAAAUUGAUCAGGAAGGCUGAGAAUAGAGAAAAGACCACUGGAUUUAGUAGUUAAGAAGUCAGUGGUGCUGCUGGAGACAGCAAUCUCAGUAGUCUGAAAGAAAUCAAAAAUCUAGAGAGUAAAAAGUUGAGAAGGUACAGUAAGGAGAGGGUGAAGAUCCUUGAGCUCCAAACAUGCUGAGGUUGAAGAGGAACGCUGAGAACAACAAAAAGGGCCACAUUUCCUGCUGAGAGCUCCUGUCUGGAACAGUUUCCUGAGGACAGAAAAAAAGGAAAGAAAAAAAAAAACAAGAUUGGAAUAUAUCUAAGUGUGUUAGCUGAAAGGAGAUGGAUGUAAAAUGUCAUAUUUGAAGAACACAACAGUUUUAACUAAAGAAAUAUAGAAGAUUCAUCUCAGGAAGAAUGUGGAGAAGAGAGAUGAAGAUAAUAUUCAAUCAAUAAAUCAAGGAAAUAACUGGACCUUCUUUCAGUUAAGUUUAAUGUCUUGGGCCAGGAAGACACCAAUAAAAGACAAAAAUGUGGCUCUUCUACUUUAUGGGCAAAAACAAUUGUAACCAUAGGCUCUGGCAACAGUGUACCCAGUUGAAGAUUGAGUUACUUCAGAAGAAGUUACAGGAAAAAGAAGACAUGAAACAGCCCAUAGGAUGUGUCUGUUCUAAGUCAGCUUGACUUUCUGCUGCAAUCCUGACAUUAGAAUAAACCUGUUAAAUACAUUUGCAAAAUGUAACCAAGUGAUAAAACAUGAUUCCUUCCUUUAAAGCUCUUUUAAUUGAAUACACCUGGUGUGGCUCUCCCCCAAUUUAUGUUAAAGCCACACACAGUCAAGCCUGCUCCCAUUACCAAUUAAACAAUAAAGUUGUUUAAAUUGGUAAAUGUCUUAUGUGCCAAGGCCAUGGAUAUAAAGAAAUAUGUGGUGUGUGUGUUUUUAGCCCCAUUUGAUAAAGAUCAAAGCCAUCUAUGUUUCCUAACCUGCCAUAUAACAGGCAAUCUGUGCUAUAAAACAUUGGUCACACAAAUGUUCUCUUUGCUCUUACCGUUUGAUUUCUCCUAGAUAGAGAGGGGAAUUACCUGAUGCAGCUGGCUAAAUUUCUAGAUCAAUUUAAGGCCAGAAUAAGAUUCUUUUACACUAGUGAAAUAGAGCUCUGUUUCCUGGAUGUUCAUUUAAUGUGUUAUCUCCUGAAAGGCAUUGCCAGAAGCAGAGUCUCUGUGGUGCCGAGCCAGUCUUGGUCAUUUCCCAUAUGAUUCAUAGAAUCUACAUAUAAUCCAAGGUCAGACAACAGGAUAAAGAUUUCAUUUUCAUCCAUUCACACAAUCUUUUAUUGUCAUAGAUGGUCACUUUGUGUGUCCCUGUCCACUUGUGUCCAUUGAGUUAAAAGUGCAUCACCACAACAGAGAUCCAAGAGUUUAAAACUAAGAAUAGUGAGUUGAAAUCACAGAAAGAGACACUUUGAGUCAAUGAAGAAAAGGACUUUGUAACAAUUUAAACUACACAACAAUGGAAAGUAAGAGUCCUCAGGAGACAAGUUCUUCCUCCCAGUAGGUCUUUAAAUGAAGGCUUCAUACCCCAUGUCAAAUAAAUUGUAGUGGGAAUUCUUUCUGGUACAGAAUUGACUGGGUCAUCUUAAGUGGUAUAGUAGAACACUAGUCCUGGAGUCAUGAAGAAAUGAGUUCAAGUUUGCCCUCAGACAUUUAGUAGUUGUGUGACCCUGGGCAAGUGAUUUAAAUGUGCUUGCCUCAGUUUCCUCAUCUGCAAAAGGAAGUGGAGAAGGAAAUGGAAAACUGUUCUCCUUUGGUAUUCUUGCCAAAAAAACCCCAAAUGAGGUCACAGAGAGUUCAACAUGAUUGAACCAAUUGAACACCACCACCAUAGAAUUAGCUAAAUGAAUGGUGAUGUCCGUUUGUGUUCUGAUAUUCCAUGAAAACAUUUCCUUUAAUCUGUUACUCUUUACAUGAGAAUCUGAGUUAUAAGCAUGGUCUAAGAAUAAAAGAGAAUAUAUUCAGCAAAA